GAGAGAUAAAAGCAGAGAAGCGCCGGGAGAGGGGCCUACGACCCAUCAGGUAGUUGGUAGGGUAAAAGCCUACCAAGCCGACGACGGGUAGCCGAUGUGAGAGCAUGAUCGGCCACAAGGGAACUGAGACACGGAUCCUACUCCUACGGGAGGCAGCAGUGGGGAAUAUUGGACAAUGCACGGAAGUGUGAUCCAGCGACGCCGCGUGAAGGAAGAAGUCCUUCGGGAUGUAAACUUCUGAACUUACAGAAUAACAGCAUAGGGGUACCUAUGCAUGAAGGUAAGUAAGGAAAAGCCCCGGCUAACUACGUGCCAGCAGCCGCGGUAAGACGUAGGGGGCGAGCGUUGCCC
rnacentral:rRNA from 1 species